rnacentral:lncRNA from 1 species
AGAUCCAAAUACCUGCUACAGAGAGAGGUAUGCUUCGUUAGCAAGCAUGAUGCGUUUCUGUAUUUCCUCCUUGCUGCUGUCCUCAGUUAUCUGUACAUCCAGGAUCGAAGCCGUUGUCGAUACUUGAGAAGGAAUCGCCGAAAAGACCAGAAGCAUUAGCAGACUGGAUGUGGCCUCCAACGAGAAUUCCAGAACCAGCACCAAAUAGUAUAAAUAAGAGAAAUUGUGUUGAACGGACUUAGUCGUUAUAUUAAUGUCGCGUGUUAUAAAUGUCGAACAUAAAAUUGUAAAUAAAUAAUUGUAUA